AUGAACAGUUCUCAGCUUUCUGACUCCCGCAUAACUGGCUGUGAGUAAGCGGUCAGUGCUUUGAAUUGCUCAUCUGUGCUCGCUAUAGUAUUCUUCACAGGCCAUGUGCUUCCUUGUUGGGUAUGGGGCUCUGUGAGAUUACAGCUGGGGAGGGGCCAGAGUCUACUGUGCAGAGUGAUUAUUUCGGGUGCUGUUGGAAGGGGUGCUUUUUGGUUAUAAUGCUAAAGGUGUAAUGGGGAGGGUUGAGGGCAGAGCCACGUCGUGUGGGAGAGGUGAAAAGGAGAGCCUAUGAGAUGUUGACUACUGAGAUGGUAACUUUUUUCCCCCCCUCCGUUCCUUCCCCCGUGGGUUUGUAAGAAAUGGUUCCUACCCAGCUGUGUUUAGGAGAGAGACAAGGUCCCCUUUUUCAGGGGCUGCUCAUUUCUCUGGCCAGGAGCGGUGUCUCUUCCGCAGCAGAAGGUUGCAUCCAGGAGGAUGACUCCAGGUGGUGAGUUGCUUGCCUUCCUCCCAUGUUUUUCUCUCUCUUUCUCUCUUCUCUAGUACGUUGGCCAACACACACCCUCUCUCUCUGUCUGUCCUUGCCUUUCCUUGUGCUGUCUCCCUUCAGAAGACACGGGCAGGCGUGCUAGGUGUGCAUCUGCAGAGGCCAGGUCUCGGGAGCCAUGGAGAAGUAGGAGCGUACGAAAACCAUGCAGGGCUGUAACUGUCAGUAUUACCUUGGUCUCUGUUCAUCGAGUGGGGCUGAUGUAGAUGGGACUGGAGAGGGAGGCAGGGAUGAGGGCAAGACUCGACGCCCCAAUAGAGCUCUGUGUAGUGAUAGUUCUUGCUUGGCUUUAUUAGUUUGCGGAGGAAUCGUCCAGGAGCCCUAGCCGGACAAGAAUAUGGCAGAAGUGGACCUGAGCAGUCUGGACAUCCUUCUAAGGAGACAUGAAUAGUCCUCGUGUUUCUGCCUUCUGCAUCGCUGGCUGUGAGUAAGAGGUUUAGAACCAAGGAAAACGAAGUCACCCGUCAGUCUACUGCCCUCAUGAUGGAAAGCGAGCGAGAGCGUUGAGACUCUGAGCAUUGUUGAUGCCACGCAAAAGCCAUCCAUCUGGGAGCCGAGGAGAUGCUGCUGUCAGUGAGAUAAGUGUCUUGUUUCAUGAGGGCUCUGCUCAUGCCCAACCUGAGUCCAGGUAGGGAAGCCCACUAAGUUGGGGCUGGGUUUGUAUGAAAAGGUUCCUGACUAACUGUGGUUACGAGGGGGAAAAGGUCCCUAUUUUGAAAGGUUGCUCAUUUCUCUGGUCAGGAAUGAUGUCUCCUCUGCAGCGGAAGGUUGGAUUCAGAAGGAUGACUCCAGGUGGUCAGUUGCUUGCUUUCCUCCAAUGUUUUUCUUUCUCUCUCUCUCUUCUCUAGUAUGUUGGCCAACACACACCUUCUAGCUCUCGCGGUCUGUCCUUGCCUUUCCUCGUGUUGUCUCCUUUCGUAAGACACAGGCAGCCGUGUAACGUGUGUAUCCCCACAGGCUAUGUCUCGGGAGCCAUGGAGAAGUAGGAGGGGACGAAAAUCAUGCACGGCUGUGACUGUCGAUGUUAUCUCAGUCUCUGUUUGUCGAGUGGGGCUGAGGUAGAUGGGAUUGGAGAAGGAGGCCAGGAGGAGGGCAAGAUUUGAAGCACCAAUAGAGGUUUGUGUAGUGAUGACUCAUGCUUGGCUUUUGCAGCUGCGCUUCCAGAGGAAUUUUCCAGGAGCCCUAUCUCAAGAAGAAACUGGGAGAAGUGGACAUGAGCAGACUGGACAUCCCUGUAAGCAGACAUGAACAUCCUUGUCAGCAGACAUGAACAGUCCUCAACUUUCUGGCUCCCGCAUAACUGGCUGUGAGUAAGCGUACCCUGGGAAAAGAAAUCAAACGUCAGCGUUUACUCCCCUUGUCGGAUGGAAAGCGAGCAAGAGCAGUGAGCCUGCGAGCAUUGUUGACGCAAGUCAGGAGCCGUCCAGUUGGCAGUGGAGCAGUCGCUACCGUCAGUGAGAUAAGUGUGUGGUUUGGUGAGGGUUCUGCGUAGGGCCCCAAUGGCUCCAGGUAGGGACGCCCCGUUAGCUGGGGCUGGGUUUGUAAGAAAUGGUUCCUAAGCAGCUGUGGUUACGAGAGAGAUAAGGUCCCCAUUUUCAGGGACUGCUCAUUUCUCUGCCCAGAUGCGGUGUAUCCUCGGAAGCAGAAGGUUGCAUCCAGGAGGAUGAAUCCAGGUGGUGAGUUGCUUGCCUUCCUUCCAUUUUUUUCUCUCUGUCUCUUUCUCUCUCUCCUCUAGUGUGUUGGCCAACUUUCUCACUCUCUUUCCUCUCCUCUCCUCCUCGUGCCGUCUCCCUUCGUAGGACCACGGGCAUCCGUGCUAGGUGUGCAUCCUAGCCAGGUCUCGGGAGCCACGGAGAAGUAGGAGGGGACGAAAAUCAUGCAGGGCUGUGACUGUUGGUGUUAACUUGGUCUCUGUUCAUCGAGUGGGGCUGAUGUAGAUGGGAUUGGAGAGGGAGGCCAGGAUGAGGGCAAGAUUUGAAGCGACAUAUAGAGCUUUAAGUAGUGAUGCCUCAUACUUGGCUUUUGCAGCUGCAUUUCCAGAGGAAUUUUCCAAGAGCCCUAGCCCGAGGAGUAAGUGGCAGAAGUGGACAUGAGCAGACUGGACAUCCUUGUAAGCAGAUAUGAACAGUUCUCAGCUUUCUGACUCCCGCAUAACUGGCUAAAUGGUUCCUGCCCAGCUGUGUUUAGGAGAGAGACAAGGUCCCCUUUUUCAGGGGCUGCUCAUUUCUCUGGCCAGGAGCGGUGUCUCUUCCGCAGCAGAAGGUUGCAUCCAGGAGGAUGACUCCAGGUGGUGAGUUGCUUGCCUUCCUCCCAUGUUUUUCUCUCUCUUUCUCUCUUCUCUAGUACGUUGGCCAACACACACCCUCUCUCUCUGUCUGUCCUUGCCUUUCCUUGUGCUGUCUCCCUUCAGAAGACACGGGCAGGCGUGCUAGGUGUGCAUCUGCAGAGGCCAGGUCUCAGGAGCCAUGGAGAAGUAGGAGCGUACGAAAACCAUGCAGGGCUGUAACUGUCAGUAUUACCUUGGUCUCUGUUCAUCGAGUGGGGCUGAUGUAGAUGGGACUGGAGAGGGAGGCAGGGAUGAGGGCAAGACUCGACGCCCCAAUAGAGCUCUGUGUAGUGAUAGUUCUUGCUUGGCUUUAUUAGUUUGCGGAGGAAUCGUCCAGGAGCCCUAGCCGGACAAGAAUAUGGCAGAAGUGGACCUGAGCAGUCUGGACAUCCUUCUAAGGAGACAUGAAUAGUCCUCAUGUUUCUGCCUUCUGCAUCGCUGGCUGUGAGUAAGAGGUUUAGAACCAAGGAAAACGAAGUCACCCGUCAGAGUCUACUGCCCUCGUGAUGGAAAGCCAGCGCGAGCGUUGAGACUCUGAGCAUUGUUGAUGCCACGCAAAAGCCAUCCAUCUGGGAGCCGAGGAGAUGCCGCUGUCAGUGAGAUAAGUGUCUUGUUUCAUGAGGGCUCUGCUCACGCCCAACCUGAGUCCAGGUAGGGAAGCCCACUAAGUUAGGGCUGGGUUUGUAUGAAAAGGUUCCUGACUAGCUGUGGUUACAAGGGGGAAAAGGUCCCUACUUUCAGAGCUUGCUCAUUUCUCUGGUCAGGAACAGUGUCUCCUCCGCAGCGGAAGGUUGGAUUCAGGAGGAUGACUCCAGGUGGUGAGCUGCUUGCUUUCCUCCCAUUUUUUUUUUUUUUCUCUCUCUCUCUCCUCUUGUGUGUUGGCCAACUUUCUCACUCUUUCCUCUCCUGUCCUCGUGCCGUCUCCCUUCGUAGGAGACGGGCAGGCUUGCUCGGUGUUCAUCCCCGCAGGCCAGGUCUCGGGAGCCAUGGAAAAGUAGGAGGGGACGAAAAUCAUGCAGGGCUGUGACUGUUGGUGUUAACUUGGUCUCUGUUCAUCGAGUGGGGCUGAUGUAGAUGGGAUUGGAGAGGGAGGCCAGGAUGAGGGCAAGAUUUGAAGCGACAUAUAGAGCUUUAAGUAGUGAUGCCUCAUACUUGGCUUUUGCAGCUGCACUUCCAGAGGAAUUUUCCAAGAGCCCUAGCCCGAGGAGUAAGUGGCAGAAGUGGACAUGAGCAGACUGGACAUCCUUGUAAGCAGAUAUGAACAGUUCUCAGCUUUCUGACUCCCGCAUAACUGGCUAAAUGGUUCCUGCCCAGCUGUGUUUAGGAGAGAGACAAGGUCCCCUUUUUCAGGGGCUGCUCAUUUCUCUGGCCAGGAGCGGUGUCUCUUCCGCAGCAGAAGGUUGCAUCCAGGAGGAUGACUCCAGGUGGUGAGUUGCUUGCCUUCCUCCCAUGUUUUUCUCUCUCUUUCUCUCUUCUCUAGUACGUUGGCCAACACACACCCUCUCUCUCUGUCUGUCCUUGCCUUUCCUUGUGCUGUCUCCCUUCAGAAGACACGGGCAGGCGUGCUAGGUGUGCAUCUGCAGAGGCCAGGUCUCGGGAGCCAUGGAGAAGUAGGAGCGUACGAAAACCAUGCAGGGCUGUAACUGUCAGUAUUACCUUGGUCUCUGUUCAUCGAGUGGGGCUGAUGUAGAUGGGACUGGAGAGGGAGGCAGGGAUGAGGGCAAGACUCGACGCCCCAAUAGAGCUCUGUGUAGUGAUAGUUCUUGCUUGGCUUUAUUAGUUUGCGGAGGAAUCGUCCAGGAGCCCUAGCCGGACAAGAAUAUGGCAGAAGUGGACCUGAGCAGUCUGGACAUCCUUCUAAGGAGACAUGAAUAGUCCUCAUGUUUCUGCCUUCUGCAUCGCUGGCUGUGAGUAAGAGGUUUAGAACCAAGGAAAACGAAGUCACCCGUCAGAGUCUACUGCCCUCAUGAUGGAAAGCGAGCGAGAGCGUUGAGACUCUGAGCAUUGUUGAUGCCACGCAAAAGCCAUCCAUCUGGGAGCCGAGGAGAUGCCGCUGUCAGUGAGAUAAGUGUCUUUUUCAUGAGGGCUCUGCUCAUGCCCAACCUGAGUCCAGGUAGGGAAGCCCACUAAGUUGGGGCUGGGUUUGUAUGAAAAGGUUCCUGACUAACUGUGGUUACGAGGGGGAAAAGGUCCCUAUUUUGAAAGGUUGCUCAUUUCUCUGGUCAGGAAUGGUGUCUCCUCUGCAGCGGAAGGUUGGAUUCAGAAGGAUGACUCCAGGUGGUCAGUUGCUUGCUUUCCUCCAAUGUUUUUCUUUCUCUCUCUCUCUUCUCUAGUAUGUUGGCCAACACACACCUUCUAGCUCUCGCGGUCUGUCCUUGCCUUUCCUCGUGUUGUCUCCUUUCGUAAGACACAGGCAGCCGUGUAACGUGUGUAUCCCCACAGGCUAUGUCUCGGGAGCCAUGGAGAAGUAGGAGGGGACGAAAAUCAUGCACGGCUGUGACUGUCGAUGUUAUCUCAGUCUCUGUUUGUCGAGUGGGGCUGAGGUAGAUGGGAUUGGAGAAGGAGGCCAGGAGGAGGGCAAGAUUUGAAGCACCAAUAGAGGUUUGUGUAGUGAUGACUCAUGCUUGGCUUUUGCAGCUGCGCUUCCAGAGGAAUUUUCCAGGAGCCCUAUCUCAAGAAGAAACUGGGAGAAGUGGACAUGAGCAGACUGGAUAUCCCUGUAAGCAGACAUGAACAUCCUUGUCAGCAGACAUGAACAGUCCUCAACUUUCUGGCUCCCGCAUAACUGGCUUACCCUGGGAAAAGAAAUCAAACGUCAGCGUUUACUCCCCUUGUCGGAUGGAAAGCGAGCAAGAGCAGUGAGCCUGCGAGCAUUGUUGACGCAAGUCAGGAGCCGUCCAGUUGGCAGUGGAGCAGUCGCUACCGUCAGUGAGAUAAGUGUGUGGUUUGGUGAGGGUUCUGCGUAGGGCCCCAAUGGCUCCAGGUAGGGACGCCCCGUUAGCUGGGGCUGGGUUUGUAAGAAAUGGUUCCUAAGCAGCUGUGGUUACGAGAGAGAUAAGGUCCCCAUUUUCAGGGACUGCUCAUUUCUCUGCCCAGAUGCGGUGUGUCCUCGGAAGCAGAAGGUUGCAUCCAGGAGGAUGAAUCCAGGUGGUGAGUUGCUUGCCUUCCUUCCAUUUUUUUCUCUCUGUCUCUUUCUCUCUCUCCUCUAGUGUGUUGGCCAACUUUCUCACUCUCUUUCCUCUCCUCUCCUCCUCGUGCCGUCUCCCUUCGUAGGACCACGGGCAUCCGUGCUAGGUGUGCAUCCUAGCCAGGUCUCGGGAGCCACGGAGAAGUAGGAGCGAACGAAAACCAUGCGGGGCAGUGGGCACUAAAGUGGAGCUGUGACUGUCUGUGUUUACUCAGUCUCUGUUCAUCGAGUGGGGCUGAUGUAGAUGGGACUGGAGAGGGAGGCAGGGAUGAGGGCAAGACUCGACGCCUCAAUAGAGCUCUGUGUAGUGAUAGUUCUUGCUUGGCUUUAUUAGUUUGCGGAGGAAUCGUCCAGGAGCCCUAGCCGGACAAGAAUAUGGCAGAAGUGGACCUGAGCAGUCUGGACAUCCUUCUAAGGAGACAUGAAUAGUCCUCAUGUUUCUGCCUUCUGCAUCGCUGGCUGUGAAGCUCUGAGAUUAAGGCUGGGGAAGGGACGAGAGUCUCCUGAAGAAAGUGAAUAUUUUGGGUGCCAUUACAAUGGGUGCCUUCUAGUUGCAGUUGUAACGUAGUAAUGGGAGAUGGGUUGAGGGCAGAGACGUGGGAUAGGGGAGAUGUGAAAUGAAGAGACUACGCGACAUUGCAGACGGAGAUGCUAAUUUUUUUAUCCCUCUCCCUGCCAGGUUUAGUAUCAAGGAAAAAAAAGUCACGCGUCAGAGUCUACUGCCCUCAUGUGAUGGAAAGCUACCGGGAGCGUCGAAACUCUGAGCAUUGUCGAUGCCACGCAAAAGCCGUCCAUCUGGGAGCCGAGGAGACGCCGCUGUCAGUGAGAGAAGUGUCUGGUUUGGUGAGGGCUCUGCUCACGCGCAACCUGAGUCCAGGUAGGGAAGCCCAGUACAGUAGGGCUGGGUUUGUAUGAAAAGGUUCCUGACUAGCUGUGGUCACGAGGGAGAAAAGGUCCCUACUUUGAGAGGUUGCUCAUUUCUCUGGUCAGGAAUGGUGUCUCCUCCGCAUCAGAAGGUUGCAUCCAGGAGGGUGACUCCAGGUGGUGAGUUGCUUGCUUUCCUCCCAUGUUUUUAUUUCUCUUUGUCUGUCUCUCUCUCUCUCUCGUACGUUGGCCAACACACAGCCUCUAUCUCUCCCUCUCUGUCUGUCCUUGCCUUUCCCUGUACUGUCUCCCUUUGUAGGACACAGGCAGGCGUGCUAGGUUUGCAUCCCCACAGGCCAGUUCUUGCGAGCCAUGGAGAAGUAGGAGGGGAGGAAAAUCAUGCAGGGCUGUGACUGUCGGUGUUAUCUUGGUCUCUGUUCGUCAAGUGGGGCCGAGGUAGAUGGGAUUGGAGAGGGAGGCCAGGAUGAGGGCAAGAUUUGAAGCACCAAUAGAGGUUUGUGUAGUGAUGGCUCAUGCUUGGCUUUUGCAGCUGCGCUUCCAGAGGAAUUUUCCAGGAGCCCUAGUCCGAAGAGAAAGUGGCAGAACUGGACAUGAGCAGACUGGACACCCUUGUCAGCAGACAUGAACAGACCUCGGCUUUCUGACUCCCGCAAAACUGGCUUAUCAGGAAAAGAAAUCGAACGUCAGCGUUUACUCCCCUCGUCGGAUGGAAAGCGAGCGAGAACAGUGAGCCCGCAAGCAUUGUUGAUGCAAGUCAGGAGCCGUCCAGUUGGCAGUGGAGCAGUCGCUAUUGUCAGUGAGAUAAGUGUCUGGUUUGGUGAGGGCUCUGCGUAGGGCCCCCUUGGUCCAGGUAGGGACGCCCCGUUAGCUGGGGCUGGGUUUGUAAGAAAUGGUUCCUGACGAGCUGUGGUUACGAGAGAGACAAGGUCCCCAUUUUCAGGGACUGCGCAUUUCUCUGGCCAGAUACAGUGUGUCCUCAGGAGCUGAAGGUUGCAUCCAGGAGGAUGACUCCAGGUGGUGAGUUGCUUGCCUUCCUCCCAUGUCUUUCUAUCUGUCUCUCUCUCGUCUCUAGUACGUUGGCCAACACACACCCUCUAUCUCUCUGUCUGUCCUUGCCUUUCCUUGUUCUGCCUCCCUUCGUAGGACACAGGCAGGUGUGCUAGGUGUGCAUCCCCAGAGGCCAGGUCUCGGGAGCCAUGGAGAAGUUGGAGUGGACAAAAAGCAUGUGGGGCAGUGGGCGCUAAAGUGGAGCUGUGACUGUCUGUGUUUACUCAGUCUCUGUUCAUCCAGUGGGGCUGAUGUAGAUGGGACUGGAGAGGGAGGCAGGGAUGAGGGCACGAUUCAACGCACCAAUAGAGCUCUGUGUAGUGAUAGUUCUUGCUUGGCUUUAUUAGUUUGUGGCUGAAUCGUCCAGGAGCCCUAGCCGGACAAGAAUAUGGCAGAAGUGGACCUGAGCAGCCUGGACAUCCUUCUAAGGAGACAUGAAUAGUCCUCAUGUUUCUGCCUUUUGCAUCGCUGGCUGUGAGUAAGAGUACCAAGGAAAACGAAGUCACGCGUCAGUCUACUGUCCUCAUGUGAUGGAAAGCGAGCCAGAGCGUUGAGACUCUGAGCAUUGUUGAUGCCAUGCAAAAGCCGUCCAUCUGGGAGCCUAGCAGACGCUGCUGAUAGUGAGAAGUGUCUGGUUUGGUGAGGGCUCUGCUCAGACUCCACCUGAGUCCAGGUUGGGAAGCCUAGUACAGUAGGGCGGGGUUUGUAUGAAUGGUUCCUGACUAACUGUGGUUACGAGGGAGAAAAGGUCCCUAUUUUCAGAGGUUGCUCAUUUCUCUGGUCAGGAACUGUCUCCUCUGCAGCAGAAGGUUACCUCCAGGAGAAUAACUCCAGGUGCUUCUCUCUCUCUCUCUUUUUCUCUCUCUCUCUCUCUCUCUUCUCUAGUAUGUUGGCCAACACACUCUCUCUCCUCUCCUCUCCUCUCCUCAUGCCCAUUUGUAGAACACUGGUUGGUGUACAGCCCAGGUCUCGGGAUCCAUGGAGAAGUAGGAGCGGAAGAAAAUCAUGCAGGGCAGUGGGCGCUAAAGUCGAGGACUGCCCUGUCACCAUUUGCUACACCCACAAUUUCCCAUUCCUGGGUCUAUGGGAAAGGAGUUGUGACAAAUGGGUUGGAUUUUGUCAGAGUUUCAGCCAGUGUUCCCUUCAAUUUUUCCCACUCAUGUGUGGAAGGAAUUUCGUUAUGUGCACCAAUAUGGAGGUGAUGUGUCACACAUUACCUCCACAUUGGUACACGUAACAAAAUUCAUGUGGCGGGUGUGGGGCCAAGGCGUUCGGAGUGUGGGACAGGGCUCAGGGCUGCGGCAGAGCGUUGAGGUGCGGGGGGGGUGAGGGCUCCAUCUGGGGGUGUGGUCUCAGGGCUGGGGAUGAGGGGUUUGAGGUCCAGAGUGCCUUGGAACUACAGGAAGUGUGGGGAGAAGACUCCCUGCAGCUCUCUCUCCCCGCAGCAGCACCUGGGCUGGGGGGAGAGGCAUGUCUCCACGCCACAGCCCUGAGUCUCUGCACAGUGCUUAAUAUGCUGCUGCGCAGCUUAGAGGUAACUUAGGUUUCAACUUGUGUGAAAUCACUAUUUUAAUACAUUUUUUUCUAAAUUAGCAAAAUCUUGUUUUACUUGUGUGUAAAUUUUAAAAAGAGGUUUCACAGGAGCAACGGGUGUCCACCCCUCCCUUGGUCUAGAGGUAGCCAUUCCGGCCAACGAGCAAUUCAAGAACCAGUGAAGUCAUGUGAUCAUAAAAAUAGACUUGAUUAUGUUUUGUUUUUUAAUAAUGUAUUAAAUAUGGUAAAUGAGAGUCACUAUAAAACCCUAGGAAGUGUUAGAAGAAGAUAUGAAGGUUUCUUGAAAAGUAAAGAAUUAAAAUGUAUGAAACUCCAUUUCCUGGAGGUAAUGGGAAAGGGUGGCCAGUUCAGGGAAUCGGAACAGCUGAGCAGACCAAUUUGUGAACAUCUCUGUGCACAUGUCACUUGUAUGUAAACACCUGAAUGAAGACUGAGAGUAUUUAAAGAGCAGGGUGUAUGGGGGGGAGAGGGAAGGUGUCUGAAACUCACUACAUCAUUUCAGAGAGGGAAGAGCAGCCUUGUCUAGACCUUCCCUGCCCCCCCCCCCACACACACCUUCCUUUUGCCCCUGUUACUGUACAUGGUCAGCUUGCUCCAGCAUCCUCAACUGCAAAGUAACCGAUUCUGCUGGGGAGUGUUUUAUAACACUACAACAGCUGGGGGGGGCUCUUGCUGUGGCUCAGGUAUGAUGUUCCAGGCUGUAAUCCUGACCAGUGUGGGGCUAUGUCACCUGACCUGCAACAGGGGGGUGCCUCACCGUGCAUCUCUGUUAUAGCUCUGACUUGGGUAGCUCACAAACAGCCUGUCAGCGUGAUGCUCCCCCCCCAAGUGUCUGUGUAUGGCUACGACUCUGAUCCCAGAGCUUGUCAGCACUCACCAGUCACACUUUGGCUUCCAUCAGACCUGGGCUACCACAUGCAGGGUGACCCCAACACACUCCCUGUCCUGAAUUUUACCCCAAAAACGUGUUGUGCACUGUCCAUCCCUCUCCUGGACAGGCCAGAUAGAUUAGGUCUGUUGUACCUCUAGGAGGUCAAUAUACAAAAAUCUGCCACCUUGUGGAUAAUUCCAUUUACAGUUCACAACACUGGAUUAGUUUUGGUUCAAGAAUAAAACAAGUUUAUUUAACUACAUAGAGAGGUUUUAUGUGAACAAAAGUAAUAAGGCAUUAAAGAAGAAAUGGUUACAAGAAAAAAUAAAGAUAAAAUGCUUUCUAAACUUAACAAACUAGGCUUGUGAAGUCCCUUCCCACAGCUUCCAGUAAUAUUGCUGCCCAAACCCUCAGGCCAGAAUCUGCUUCCAGGGUCCAGCAGCUGUUUCUCUGAUCAUCUUAGGUGAAAGGGAGAUGAGGAGGGAGAGAGAACUUGGGUGUUUUUGCCCUUCCCUUUUAUAGUUCGGUCACCAUUUGAAAAACAUUUUCCUGAGUGUUCACCUUAGGUUAAGUUUUUUCUUGCUGAGAGCAUGGAGUUUGGUGGAAGAAGGAGGCUUUGUGCUGUUUCUGUUCAUCCGUGUAUACUGCUUCUUUCUUCCCCCUCUUAUCCUCUGUGGAAUCUGUUUACAGCUGAAAUGCAAAUUGAGGCAAACGCACAUCCCUUUCUUUAGGACAGGUGUGCUUGAUCACUUCCACCUAAUCAGGCUAUGUGAAUUGGAACUUGUGCUUUUAAUACCCUAUAGGUGGAAUUUCAUAACUUUACACAGACUGUUGCUACCGCCAUUUCACCAAAAUAGUAUUGAUCACUGAGUUUCAAAUGCUACCUCACAAGGCAUAUUUUGUCCAAAGAUUGUUACAAUAGUGUGUAGGGUGUGAAUACAGGGGUGCAUUUGGCCACAGUGGUUUGGGAAUUAUCCAUUUGUGAAGGGCUCGUUAACCUUACCCUUCCUUGGAAAUUGCCAGACAAUGAAGGGAAGUGGAGAAUUCUUGCUCCAAUCCUGAAUUGCUGGAAAUCCCAGGCUCGCUGGAGCUGGUUUGAUUUCCCAGUGGAGUCAGUUUUUCUCCCUGGUGGAUUAUGAUUUUCCCCAUUGUAGUUAGUUGCAAUUUGUCUACUUCCCCACAGACCUUCACUAGCUUCUCUAGGCAUUAUCUCAUUGCUUCAAAUUAAAACUGCUGCCCUUUGGGUCUGUAUGUUCUGGGGUAUUUGCUGUCAUGAGUGACUGUGCUGAUUUGGGCAGGUGCUGGGCAAGGUGGGGGUUGUAAGUUUCUGAUGAAGAAUGCUGUGUGUUAAAUAAAAUUACCCUGUGACAAACAGUG